AUGCACGCUGGCGGCGUGCCUAAUCCAUGCCAGUCGCGCGAACAGACGAGGAGCUUGCUCCUCUGACGUUAGCGGCGGACGGGUGAGUAACACGUGGAUAACCUACCUAUAAGACUGGGAUAACUUCGGGAAACCGGAGCUAAUACCGGAUAAUAUAUUGAACCGCAUGGUUCAAUAGUGAAAGACGGUUUUGCUGUCACUUAUAGAUGGAUCCGCGCCGCAUUAGCUAGUUGGUAAGGUAACGGCUUACCAAGGCAACGAUGCGUAGCCGACCUGAGAGGGUGAUCGGCCACACUGGAACUGAGACACGGUCCAGACUCCUACGGGAGGCAGCAGUAGGGAAUCUUCCGCAAUGGGCGAAAGCCUGACGGAGCAACGCCGCGUGAGUGAUGAAGGUCUUCGGAUCGUAAAACUCUGUUAUUAGGGAAGAACAAAUGUGUAAGUAACUAUGCACGUCUUGACGGUACCUAAUCAGAAAGCCACGGCUAACUACGUG
rnacentral:rRNA from 1 species